rnacentral:lncRNA from 1 species
ACCUGGCUAAUUUUUGUAUUUUUAGUAGAGAUGGGGUUUCACCAUGUUGGCCAGACUAGUCUCGAACUCCCAACCUCAAGGGAUCUACAUGUCUCGGCCUCCCAGUUGCUCCCUUUUCUGGUCUCAUUCCUCCCUGUCCUCUGUUUUUCCCUAGGUACAGUUGUAUGGCAAUCAUCCUUUUCCCACAAGCCUUGCCUGUUCUGGUGUGUCUCUGUGCUUUGAAGGUGCAAUUCUUCUGCUGAGAGGCCCCUUCUGCUCCCAUUCAUGUAACAAACUGGUCAUCCUGCGUCACCCACUCUACUGUUGUAGCUAUCCCUCACUAAGCUUCAGCCCCCCUACUGCAUGCUCCCCCAGUACUUCACCUUACCUGUGACAGCGUGAUUCCCAUCACGUCAC